UACAGAGGGUGCGAGCGUUAAUCGGAAUUACUGGGCGUAAAGCGCGCGUAGGCGGCUUUGCAAGUCGGGUGUGAAAUCCCCAGGCUUAACCUGGGAACUGCAUUCGAGACUGCAUUGCUAGAGUAUGGGAGAGGGAAGUGGAAUUUCCGGUGUAGCGGUGAAAUGCGUAGAUAUCGGAAGGAACAUCAGUGGCGAAAGCGACUUCCUGGACCAAUACUGACGCUGAGGCGCGAAAGCGUAGGGAGCAAACAGG
rnacentral:rRNA from 1 species